UCUAUGCCCGCGCGUUGCUGCGUAAGAACGACAAAUAUUGACUUACAUGUUUUCUUGAAAAAAAUAGCAAGGCAAUAUAUAUGCUCGCCUAGUUUGGAAGUCGCUUGCUGGGUUUUACUUUUUUUGUCUUUAUCUUUACAAUUUCCAAUUUAAAUUCUUAUUUUAUUGAGCUCAGAAUUUGACAUGGGAUAUUUUUAGGGCAUCCCAAUUUUUGCAGAAUACAAUGGUUGUAAACUGACAAGACACGAAGCCAACAAUAUUAAAUCUAUUGAAGUAUUUUCUAGUUAAGCCACACAAACAGACAGGGGAUUCUCAAAGAUCCCUACAUGAUUUUCAUCAUGACAGAUACCCUGGCCAUUGCUCCAUAAUGACAUACCUACCGAGAAUUUAACAAUGCGAGAGGCCACAAUCAGAAACUAUCGAACGGCACAAUUGCCUUGGAGAGGGAAUUCAACGAGUGCGGAACAAGGGAGCAAAUGGAUCAGAACAGAUUCAGAGUAUAUAGAGUUGGAGAUCUGAACCCUGCGAUGCAAGCACUCCUGAUGCACUUUUCUUUGGCACAUGUAGAAGUCUGUCUGCAAACUGUUGUCAGUUUGACUCAAUGCAGUGCUACAGUAUGUCUUUUUCAUGUCUUCUGCUUAUAAUGCAACUGGACAUUCGAAUCAGGCACAUACCAAGCUUUUGUUAAACUCCAUUAGGCCAUAGCUUACAUGAUGAAACAACUUUUACAUGUACUGAACACUUUUCUCAUUAAAAAACUGGGUAGCUUUA